rnacentral:rRNA from 1 species
UACGUAGGGUGCGAGCGUUAAUCGGAAUUACUGGGCGUAAAGCGUGCGCAGGCGGUUCUCCAAGUCCGUUGUGAAAGCCCCGGGCUCAACCUGGGAAUGGCAGUGGAAACUAGGGGACUGGAAUCUGGGCAGAGGGGGGUGGAAUGCCGCGUGUAGCAGUGAAAUGCGUAGAGAUGCGGCGGAACACCGAUGGCGAAGGCAGCCCCCUGGGCUGAGAUUGACGCUCAGGCACGAAAGCGUGGGGAGCAAACAGG